UGUCGGUGUUUAUACUACAUUUUUUUACAUUUGCCUUGAGAGAAUCUUUGAACCUCUCUUGUUGACCACCAGCAUUACGCUUUCCAUUCUUAAGUUGGGAAUAGAGUAGUUGCUUAGGAAGACGAUAAUCUGGCAUCUGCACAACAUGACCAGUCCAGUGAAGUUGAUGUUGAAAAAUCAUUCCCUCGACAUUGGUGAUAUUUGCUUCUUCCAGUACACUGGGUGUCAUCUAGUGUUGGUUAUAAAACACGCCCCAGACUUUGUAUGGAAAGGGAAUGAAUGAACACCUGACUGUAGUCUUGUUGAUUUGGUUGGGGUAGGGAUGUCAGAGUAGAGUAUGAGAGCUUUUGGACCGGAAUAUCAAGCAAGAUUCAUGAUGAGUCCAGAAGCCAUCGGCUAGGCAGCGUUAAGAUAUGAUAACGCACAAGGCCAGAGUAGCAGGCAAAUAGUGACUGCUGUUCAUUGCUGCUCACUUGCUUUUGCUUUGUUUUGUACGGCAUUUUGGUAAAAAGAGUUGAGGGGAGCGGAGUAGAGAGAGAAGCAGGCCGGAGCACUCUAGGUUAGGGAAAUGAUGAUAAAUGGUCCAAUUAGCAGUGGAAGCAAGAAGCUAACGUAGAUAACAAAAGCAAUGAUCAGACAAAGCAGUGGACACAUCUGGAAUAACUUGGAAACAAGACGAAUGAACAGGCAAAUAAUAGGAUGACGGUGUUUAGAGAGGACUUUCAGUGAUUGUGCAUUGAAUGAUGAAGUGUGAGAUGGCUUGACCGCAGCUGGAGUAAAGAUGCAACAUUUCCAAAUAUGUUGAAGUUGUCAGGAAAAUAUGUCUCUCCCACACCACUUAUUGUGAUGGGGUGAGAGUUUAUGAGAAAAUUGAGAUAUAUUCAACAAGUACUAUCUGUGACAAAGUGCUGCAGUGUGGCGUGUCCCAUUCAGGGCUCCCUAUCAGCUAGCCAUGCCCUUUCCAGGGUACUCCAUUCCAUCUCACUACCCCAAAGUUCACCACCCUCCUUUCCCCCUGAAAUGUGCUCAGUUAUCAUGUAGCUGUUUUGGGUUUAAGACCUUUUGCACACGAAGCUGGUGCUUUUUCACUGAGCUAGCCCCCCUUUAAGUGUACAUAAGUCUGAUUACUUGCAUAAAAUAACACACGGAUUUGUAGAUGGUGUGACAUAUAGGCAUGUAUGCACUUGCCUCUUUGCAGAAAUCAUGCAGUUCUGAUGUGGUGCUAUUAAAAUAGUACUUAAAAUAGUUACAAAACUAGAGUGGGUAAAUCACAGUAUUCAAGAUUCUUCAUUUCAGAUAUUGCAUUACAAUCUGACUUCCAUCUUCCAACUGCCACCACAAAUUAAUAUGGCAACUGAAAGUAUAUUCUAACUUCAGAGAAAUAUGGAGGGGGGAAAUCAUUCCAAUAUCUCAAUUUUCAAGGGAUGUAUUACAUUGUGAUGAGGGAAAAGAAGAUCAAAUAUGAAUGUGAUGUCCUGAAGAUGAAUGCCAACUUUCAUUCCAGUAUUUGAAAGGUUGCAUUAUGAUACCUGUCAGAACAGAAAUCUAAGGUGACUGAAAAAGGUGAGAAGUAGAACUGAUAUUCAGAGUUGAAAUGCUGAACCUUACAAAAUCUCAUUCUGGUAUAUCAGUUUUCAAGAGAGUUAUUGAACUACAAACAAGCAGAAUACCAAACAGACAAGUUAAAGGCUUUGUAUUGUUUGUGCAACAAAGUUUCUGAAUUAAAGCAAAACAGGAUUGUGAACAUCAAUGGUGGUCAUGUUUAACAACAAAUCCUUUGAGUGAUACAUAUGUUCUGUGCAACAUGUUCUGUGGAAGAAUCAAGAAAAGAGUGUGAGAAAUCCUUUGCCUUAUCAACAGGGUGACCACUUAUUAGGGAUGGGGAAGAAAUUCGAUUUAAUUUACAUUUUAAUGUGAACCCAACCUAAACCAUACUUCUCAAAAAAAGUAUACAAACUGAAAUAUAGCCAUCCUUCAGAAAUUGUUCUUCUCAUAAUUUUCUGUGCAAUUCUCCAACCAUAAAAUACAUAUAAAAGGUGUAUUUGUGUAAUGUGUUCAUAAAAGAAGCAUGCAUUAGUAAAAAUAGCACCGAACAAUGCAUUUUGUUAGGUAAAAUCCUUGGGAAAACUUUAUUUAUUUGGCACAGUUGCAAACAAAUAUAUAUAAAUCAUGAGCUGCAUUUUAGAUUGGAAAGGUAAGAAACUGAAAUUGAUUUGUCCAUCUCCACCAUGUGUGCUGUGCUAAAGAAAAGAGAGGAAAUGCAUGACUAAAAAGAGAGAACAUAGAUUACCAUAAAAUUUGCAUGUGCUGAUAUGUAUAGCUGCAAACGUAUAAGUAAUUACUAAAAUUUAAAAUGCAAAUACCAUUGUAGGGAAUGCUGCUGUCCAAGAGCUAAACCACUGGCGGGCAAUUUCAAGGCCCUUGCUCUCCCUUCCUAUGGUUCUUUAUUUUUAAUCAGGACUUGGAUAGGACAGCUGGUCUCUGUGAAGUGGAAUACAUGGCCACCAUAUUCCUCAGUUGCCAUGUUUGUACUUGGUGGUAGCCACUUGGGCUCUUAUUUCUAACCUUGCACUUACAUUGCUAAGAAAGCUCCCUGGCUGAGUAGUCCAUUAAUCCACCCGGUGCACCAGGUGGAGGAAGCAGUGUUCUUAUGAAACUGUGAAGUCUAGCAAAAUGUCCUCAAGGAUAAAUAGUGUUGUACAUCGUUUCUGAAACAGCACCUGCCGUUUCUGAUGCAUCAGCAUUUGCCUAAUCCACAGACCUUGGUAUUUUUGUUCUCUUCCAUUCUUUCCUUCUCUUACUUUCUGCUCACCUUCCUCCCUCCCCACCCUGUAUUAUAUGUGUCGCCACUUUGCAGCUUAAAAUGUAUGCCUUCAUCAUCAGCUUCUUUCUGUGAUCUCUUGAGAGUUUCAGAAUUGCCAUGGUUGUGGCUGUUUGUUUCUGCUGUUUUGUUCUCUUCAUUCACACCUGGGUUAAAGUAUUAGAUGUUAAACCAAAACAGUUACCCAAGAAACAAGAAGCUCCUUUAAGACGUUAGCACUGAAUUUUUUAUUUUUUAUUAGAGAAUGUAAGGCCACACAAGCAAGCAAUGAAGCGAUGUUUUAUGGGCAGCAUUCUUUCCACCAAAUUGAGCAUGAAUAUCUGCAUUCCUACACAUCCAAAGUGACACUUGUUUGUCUUGGUGAAAUUACGUUUACCCUGCUUGUCUGUCACAAGCUCAGAGCAGACAUCCAAGGUGUCUUCAGUUUUCGGAUAAAGCCAAGGUUUUACUGCCACCAGAGGAGACACAGAACAGGAUUUCUGACAGUUUACAUGGGAGUUUGAAUAGACAAUUAUGGAAGGGGAGUCCUUGAAGUUGGGGGGGGACUGCAGCCCUCUUGAUGUUGCUGAACACCAACUCCCAUCAGACCCAGCCAGUGGCCAAUUGUCAGCGCAGUGGGAGUUGUAGUCCAGCAACAUCUGGAGGUCCACAGGUCUCCCAACCCUUUUUUAAAGCAUCCUGUCCCCAGACCACUUAGGGCUUUAAAAGCUACCCCCCCAACAAAUUGGUAACCAGUGACAUUGAAACAAAACUGGAGCUGACGUAUUUGAUUCAAAACAUUCCAUAAUGUGUUUUCAUUAUCACUAAUUGUCUUCUGCCCAUUAUUCUCAGCCAUUCACACUAUUAGUGGAAUGGAAGCAACAUCAAAGGAGCAUUACUAAACUAUGUUGACACGCCAUUCUGAACCAAGAGAGAUUAGAGGAAGAGCCACAUACUUUAGGUUGGGCAGAAACUAUAUUCAAAAUACCUCAUGCCCACACUGUAAUGGUUUUAGGGAUAGGGAGCAGGUGUCAGGGUUGAGUUUUUAUUUCUGUCUUCUGGUUAAUGGGAAUAUUGAUUUGUUUGUUGUUACCAUCCUGCCAAAGUUUUCUAUUACUGUUAUGGGGGUGGGCUGUGUUAUAUGAUCCCCCUUUUUUCUGUUGUGUGUGUGUGUGCGUGUUCAGUCUAUUUCACUUGGGAACUUUUUGAGUUACAAGCAACUAAUAAGUUUAAUAAAUAAUAAUAAUAAUAAUGCAAUAGCUACAGUUCAUUUUCUAAAUACCAGCCUAGGACAAGCCUGUUAAUGGAAAGAAAGCAAUAAAGAACAGAAGCAGAAUAAGUGAAUUUGAAGUGAUUUCCCAGUGACAGUAGCUGCAACCUAGAACUGAAAGAGGAAGUGUUGAGCAGUGCUGCAAAUAGCACUGUUAGGGGAACUUCUGGGGCUGAUUUUUGGCAGGAAAAUGAUGUCUGAGAGGAUGGGUUAAGGCUAAAAACUUUUCUGCUGGGGCAACACAGCUGCAUUUUGCUCAAGAAGAGGUGUGUCUGGUCCUAAGCAUUUAAUUUGAAUAUGCUGCUAACUAUUACCAACAUAUUUCUUUUUUCCUACACCAUCUCUCCAUCUCUCCAAAUCUAGGGUGACUAAUGUGUAGAUUGACCCUUAACUGCAACAUUGGGUAAACACUAUCCGAAAGAUUAGGGCCAGGGGGCACAUGCCAGUUGUGGCUGUGGCCAGAGAGAAAAGCAGGCAAAGCAUCUAAUGUGACUUUUAGCUUUGUACAGUAGACUGCAUUCCAGACAUAUUUGGAAGUUUCUUAAACACUCAAAUACACCUCUCUCCAUCCUCAAUCCAGGCAAGCAAGAGGAAUGAUCACAGUUGAAGGACACAUUCCAGCCAGGCAAAACAUUUGAGGAACAUGUGGAACAGGGCCAGGGAGGGGAGUUUUCUGGGGAGAGUCUCAAGGGACAGACAGAGGUGUAUCGAGACCCACAGACGGGACCCAGGCCUGCGGUUUCCCAAUCCUGGAUGAGAUAGAUGAGUUUCUUCCAUGCAUUGUCUUGUUUCAUAAAAAGAGAAAACUGAAACUUGGUUUGUACUUUUCUGACAAGCAGACUGGACAAUGGAUAAUGGUAUCUCACUUUGAAUGGAUUUGGAGUAACUAUGUUAAGCACAGUGGUGCCAUGGUCCAGGGUUGCAGGGGGUUGAAGACCCAUUACCAGUCCUUUUUUUUCCUAAAAAAAUGUUUAGCGGUACUCUCAUUUUCCUACUCAUAUUGAAAUACUGCCCCUCAAUGAGGCCAAACUUAGAUUCACAAAAUGUUUAGGGGUAUGCGUACCCCCAGAAAAAGCAUUGCCCGUUACUAUUUAUACAGCAGAGUCCCUCCAGUGUCCUAAAACCGCCCAGUCAACAUGAAGGGGGAGCUUUUUGCCCACUGGAUGCUCCAAAGGUAAACAUUUAGGAACACUGAAAACACAAGAGUUUCAAGAGAACAGUGUGCAAAUUCUGCUACACUGGAACUUAACAGAAAACAUAAUUUAAGUCAGGCUGAAAGAAGACAUUGCAGCACUCCAAAUAAUUUCCCAAGUAUGUGCACAGGAAAUAGUAGAUCAAGCUGAAAGGCAACACAUGGAGAUCUGCAUUGGUUACUGCAACACAUCCCAUAAUUGUUAUGACGCUAUAAUUAUAAGAUUAUUGUAUAAACUUAGACGCUUGUGAAGGGGUGUGAUUGUGACUAUCAUGGUUAUGCACUGUACAAUGGCAAUUCCAUUCCCUGCACUGAACAUGCUUCUACCACAUCUGCAACCGAAAUCCUAUGUGCAAUUACUUGGCAGCAAGUCAGCUCCACUUAAUCCAAUAGGGCUUACUCCAAAUCUGUACAUAGCUUGUAUCAUUAGAAAUCGAAUGAUCAGCCAUGUUUGGCUUCUAGCAGAAAUCCAGCAUGCUGUCACGGCAGGCUGGGGAUCACCUGCAAAACUUCAGCUCCACAGUCACUGGGAAUAGAUUGAUUAACCAAAUUGCUUGGAGUGGCAAUUACAGAUUGGAGGUGGAAGUGGGGAGGAAAGAGAAAUAGGUAUGGGGAGCAAAGUAAGGAGCAAAGAGGCUGUCAACUUCCUUCUGGGAGCCCAAACGUAUGUACGGUUGUAGGAAGCAGUAGUUUGGCUUACCAUGACAUGUGAACGAGACCAAAGUGUUAUGCCUUAACUAUAGCUAUCCUGUUGCAGUUCAACCAACUAGAAACUACAUUUUGCCCAUGUUGAAGUCACUUUUGUUUCAACAAGGUUGAAUAAAUAUAGGACACUCCUUUGGGCAGGGGUGCCAACUUGAAUAAGAUAUUGGGGGACCCAGGUAAGCCUCACCCUGCAUAAUUUAUCACAUGAUAGAGUGUGCACACAGUAUUUGAAUGGCAAUGCCCAUCAACUUUGGGGGGGCCCAGACCCCUCAAAUAUUUUAUCAGGGGUGAAGAUCCCUCACCCCCUAGGAGCUGGCUCCUAUGUCCUUGGGUGUUAAUUUGCUAUCAUUUUAAAACCUAUUUUUAGUUCCUGUUGUAAGGUUAUAAAUGGCCUUCAGACAUUUGUGAAAAGUGACUCAUAAACUAAUAAUAAUAAUUCUAUUAUUUCCAUUCCUGCAACUGUAUAAAGCAGAAUCACCAUAGGUCAUUUUCUCCUAUACAAGACAAUAUUUCUACUUAAGUUCCUGAUAUAGUUCCUUUUUUGCUUUUUCUAGGUUUCUAGUACCAGCUGUUGUUUCAGUUUCCUUCUUCACUUCUCUCUUUGCAACUUGUACAAUAAUCUGUCUGAAUUUCCCUUCUUACACACAUUGUCUCUCGUCUUUCUGUGUAAGCCCUGUGUAAGCCCCUGGUUUAUUAUUUCCUCUGGAGCUGAACCUACUUUCAGUCUUUAGUUUGAGAAGUGACUACAGGUUUUUUUUUCCUUUAAAAAAAAACCCCUAUACAACUAAAUAAGGAAGCUGGUGGUAGGGUAAUGAAUUUCUAAAAUUAUUUCAAGGUAGUCAACCCACACCAAAUGAAGUUACCAUCUCUCAUACAGACAACAAUAAGUAAAUAACACAAUUACUAUGUACAUUUUAGGCUGAGUAUGUUCAGUCAUUGUUUUCCCUACUUUGAAUGUAAAUUUCCUUGGCAAAAACAAGAGACUGAAUAUUGCUGCAUUGGUUCAAUUCACACAUAAACACCAAAACAAUCUGGCACAUGGGAUCAUUUAUGUAGGCUCACAUAUUAUCUGUUUUCUCACUCAUUGUAGUUUGCCAUGAGAUCCCAAUUUGGAAAAUAUGGUUAGUUCUAACUUCAUAAUAAUGGUUUGCAAACUAUGAAUUCAAAUUAGGCUUUGGAGCAGUAUUUUCAGUUAAGACAUCACACAAAACUGCUGUGGUCUAGCAAACAAACAGGAAAUGAGAUAGUUAAUGAAUAAAUACUGAUGGAGUGAAGAGAGUCUUCAGGGGCACAGGCAGGCAUAACAUAUGAAUUAAAUAAUUAGGUAAAAUAGAAUAAUCCCCUAUAUUUAUAAUAAAUAUUAUUAUUAUUUAUAGGUCAUCUUUUUGGGGCAUAGCCCAUCCAAAGUCAGCUUGCAUUUCAUUGAAACAUCCAAGAACUAACCAUUUUAAGGCAAUUAGAAAAUGUGAAAAGGAAACUAUAUGCUGACCUUUAUGUUCACUACAGUGGUACCUUGGUUCUCUAAUGCCUUGGUUCUCAAACACUCUGGUUCUUAAACUCCAAAAACCCGGAAGUAAGUGUUCCAGUUUUUGAACAUUUUUCGGAAGCCGAACAUCCAAUGUGGCUGUCGGCUAUUGUACAUGUUCACCAUGCUUCUUGACAACCACACAAUUAGCAUCAAUGUGAAAAGGACCUAUGUGUGUACAGUUCCUCCAUGCAUACAUGAAGGCCAGCCAAUCAGGGUUGCUGUUUGCAUAUCAGACCCUAUCACUGCCACCAUCUUCAGGGACCCGGGCACCCACCAGACUUUUGCUGUGGGUGCCUAGCCUCCACCCCCACUGCCACCUCCACGCACUCCCCCCCCCCCCAUGGCACCACCUCUCCAAAUGUUGGGAACUUUUCCCAUAGGGGAGUUUCUCCAUUGUCUUUUUUUAUCUGGGUUUCCAUUUUCGGAACCAUACAAACCACCUGAUUCAAUCUUCUCCUUCCUCCUCAUCAUUCACAGCCUGCCAACUCCAGCCUGAGCCCAACGGCAUCUCAAGGCUCAUGACAGAUAUUCAGUCCCAAAACAUUGUGUUGUAUGACAAACUUGCUGCCACAAGUAUCAACCUAAUCUAGACCUUAGAAGGUGCUACCAGAUUAGCACCCAAAAAACUAUGGGUUAAAAGCACAGGAUGGGGUCUUUAGCCGUGGCGUAGCAGCUAAUGAGGCUUCUCUCAAUAAUAGCACCAUCCCAAAACACAUCUGCCAGAGGACAUUGAUUGCCACUACAAAACAGGAGCCUCCAAGGCCACAUUCUCCCCAGAAGUCUGCAGGGCCCCUUCCCGGAUAGGGGCCAUGUGUAUGAUACCAGUGGUGUGUGCUUUUCAGAGAAUUUCUCCUUGCAUUGGCUGAUACCAAGAAGAGGGACAUUAUAUACCAUGUGGCACUAACCUUUUGUGCCUAGCAGUUCCCCCCAGUCUGUUUUCUGUGCUAUUUUGAGACCCAUCUCAAUUAUUUGUGGAGAGAUGGAAGAACAGAUUAUGAAUUUUUAGAGAUCAGCCCUUUGCAGCCGAUCACAUUUCUGAAUGCAUGAGCUCAUCCCAAUGGGCUUCUUCUCUUACAAGGGUUAUAUCAACUAGCAGAGAAAUGGAUAGCUGUUCAGCUCUUGUAACCCAUAUUAAAUUGUCAGUAGCAUUAUUUAAGAAUACCUGAAGAAUGGAGUAGGAAUUUUGUUGGGGGUUUUUAGUGCUGUACUGAAACCUAUGGGACAGAAGAGCUGCAGAAAAGAAAGAGAGCAGGAGAAUUGCUCCACAUCCAAGCCCAUUGCUUUGCAAGCCAUUGAUUUGAUCAAUGGCAUCUUCAGACAGAAACUGUCAGGUAGCAAGUGAGCAGCUUGUUUUGCUCCAGGUGGGCGUAAUGUGAUUUGUUAUAUUGCCCCCUAGUUUCUGCAUGUAGAACUGCUUUGAUUUUUCCGUUGUUGGUCUGGUAGCAUCUGAUCAAGUCUUAGAAUCUAUUAUCAUGCCAUGCUUGGUUUUCCUGUGUCAUCUAUCUAACCAUGCUCAGACCUCAGAAGGGGGGGGGGGCCCUCCCUCUUGCAUUGUUCUCUGCAGCCUGGCCUCGCCGUUAUAUUUCCACAUCAUCCAUAACCAUUUCAUGUAGCGUACACCAUACAUUAGUAUACAUAAUAUACAUGUUAUAUUAUACAUUAUAAGGGACGUGGGUGGCGCUGUGGGUUAAACACGGUUCGAAUCCUUGUGACAGGGUGAGCUCCUGUUGCUCGGUCCCUGCUCCUGCCAACCUAGCAGUUUGAAAGCAUGUCAAAGUGCAAGUAGAUAAAUAGGUACCGCUCUGGCGGGAAGGUAAAUGGUGUUUCCGUGCGCUGCUCUGGUUUGCCAGAAGCGGCUUAGUCAUGCUGGCCACAUGACCUGGAAGCUGUACACCGGCUCCCUCGGCCAAUAAAGCGAGAUGAGCGCCGCAACCCCAGAGUCGGCCACGACUAGACCUAAUGGUCAGGGGUCCCUUUACCUUUACCUUUACCUUAUUAUACAUUAUAUAACACUAUACUUUUAAAGCACCCCCCCUCAAAAAAGAGCUCUGGGAACCGUAGUUUGUUAAAGGUAGAUUUGUUAAAGAUAAACUGCAGUUCCUAGGAUUCUUUGGGGGGGGGGUUAAUUUAUGGUGUGUAUGCAGCCAUGAUUAGAUUCACCCAUUAUUAAUUGUUGUUUUUUUUUUACACCUUCAUUCAGAAGUUUACCAUUCAAGUUGUGCCCAAGUAGUGAUCAACAAAGUUGAAAGUGUGGAUUUGGGUGUGAGUUUAGCUGACCAGAUAGAUGCACAGCCUAACCUGCAUCGAGGCCAGGUUGCUUCUGCCACCAGUAGAGUAAACGAUACUUGUUUGCAGUAGUCUGACUUUGAUAUAAGGCAGCUUCUGACUUGAUAUCUAGACAGCUACUUGAGUAGGAAGCUUUUUUUUUUUUUUUAAAGGCAGUGGCAUGGAGAUUGAUGACCCCUAUAAAACCUAAAAAGGUCACCCAGAUAAAUUAUUAUUUAUUGUUAUUAGGGAAGUUUUUAAUGUUUGAUGUUUUAUUGUGUUUUUAAUAUUCUGUUGGGAGCCGCCCAGAGUGGCUGGGGAAACCCAGCCAGAUCGGUGAGGUAUAAAAAAAUAAAUUAUUAUUAUUAUUAUUAUUACUAUUACUAUUAUUUAAAUUUAUUUAAAUUGGGAUCAGGCACCAUAAACUGGGACAUUCUGUCAUUAUUUAAUAAACGUACCACUCCACCUUUCUUAACGUAUAGGUAAGCUAAAAAAUAAUUUUUGACAGAUAAAACCCCAUUAGUAUAAAAACAUAAAAAGACCAUGUUGAAAAAGGCCAGCUAUCACCAGGAUAUCCGCAUGAAACAGCCUUUGAAAGUCAGGAGGUGUUGGCCUCCUUACAAAAAGUCUGCAAUAUCAGAGUGGUAAGGCUUCCUUAGCAGGUAAACCUAUGGGGGGGGUAUAUGACAUAAAAGAUCCAUAGGUUGGACCAGGGUCUCACACAAUGCUCUAGAGCAGGGGUCAGCAACCUUUUUCAGCCGUGGGCCGGUCCACCGACCCUCAGACCAUGUGGUGGGCCGGACUAUAUUUUUUGGGGGGGAAAUGAACGAAUUCCUAUGCCCCACAAAUAACCCAGAGAUGCAUUUUAAAUAAAAGCACACAUUCUACUCAUGUAAAAACACGCUGAUUCCCAGACCGUCCGCGGGCCGGAUUGAGAAGGCGAUUGGGCUGCAUCCUGCCCCCGGGGCCUUAGGUUGCCUACCACUGCUCUAGAGGGCGCUGGGCCCACAUGCACAUCUUCUAUUUAAAGUGCUAUGUUACCACUUUAAACAGACAUGGCUUCCCCAAAGCAUCCUGGGAAGUGUAGUUUGUUAAGGGUGGUGAGCGUUGCUAGAAGACCCUUAUUCCCCUUACAGAGCUACAAUUCCCAGAGUUCCCUGUAAAGUGGAAUUGAUUGUGAAAACUCUCUGGAAAAUGUAGUUCUGGAAUGGGAAUAGAGGCCUCCUAAAAACUGUCACCACCUUUAACAAACUACUGCUCCCAUAAUUCUUUAGGGGGAGCCAUGACUGUUUAAAGUGCUAUUAUAUGGUUAAAUAGAACAGAGCAUUCAAAGCUUAUUCAGUUCUUGAGCUUCAAUAGAACUAUAAAUCCCUCUGCUGGUCAGUUUAUCGCAUUGCAUGUGUUAAUCCCAUGCAAGCAGCAAGUUUUAAAAAGUUAAAUGAACGAAAAUGCUUUCAUUCAAAAAGGUACCGGUAUGUUGCUUGCAUACGCAAAAACCCAUUGGGAAUUGUAGGCUGAACAGGGCUGGUGGAGUUGGUGAAAAAACUGGAUAUUUCAGCAAGGCAACAUUUUGAACAAUAUUCUGGAUACUCAAAAACUGCAUUUGGCUAGCAUUCUGCUAUAUUAUUAUUUUAUUUAUUGAAUUUAUAUACCGCCCUAUACCCAGGGGUUUCAGGACGGUUCACAAAAUAAAAUCAUGCUAAUAAUAGCAGCAGCAUUAACAAUAUAACUUAGGUGGAAACACAGCAUGUAGAAAUUUUUGAAACCUGAAAAGGUAUAUAAAUGAUUUUAAGUAAGUCCAGCAACAAUUCAAUGCAGCCAAAGUAAGUGACAUUUCUAGUUGCCAGAGACUUUGUGAGGUGGCACAUAUUGCUCAACAAUUGCUGCUGAGGCAAUAGUGUAAAGGAGAAACAUACUUUUAAUGGUACAAAAUGAGGAGUAUUUUUCAAUUUCCCAGUAAAUAGAUGUAUGUCAAAGGUGCCUGUACAGACAUGUUGAAUUUCAUUUUCGAUUUACAGCUUUGUAAACUCAAGCUCAUAUCAUGUUAAAAACUGUGCUGGUAUUCUCUUUUUUUAAAAUGUAACGUAGAGAGCAUCCCAGAAUUCCAUACACUUCACUAGAAAGUACUUAUUCACAUAAUACAUAAUGAAUUCAUGGAAUUUGUUGCCACACACUGCUGGCUGCUAGUUUAGGUGGUUUCCAAAAAGCUUAGACAAAUUCCCAGCUAUUCAUUUUGAUGGCCAUUUGCAACAUCUGAUUUCAGAGGCAGUGUAUCUUUGACGAGCAACAGUGGGAGAGAUCUUUUUCUUCAUUCCCAGCUUGUAGGUUUCCCAGAAGUGUCUGGUUGACCACUGGGGAAAACAGGAUGUUGGACUUGAUGGACUUUUGGUCUGACCCAGAAGAUGAAGAACUUAUAGCUAGGGAUUGGUGAAUAAGUUACUUUCACUUUCUGUCCAUUUUUCAUUUUUCCAAUCUUGAAUUCAGCUCUCUACGUUUCAAUAUUACCUUGAGAAUUUUUUUAAAAGGUCCUCUUAAAAAUUCAUCAGCAUUUUAAUGCAAAAGUUUUAGAAAGAUUUAUCUUGGAUUGUACCACUUCAGGUUCUAAAUGUGUGUGUACAUUUUAAUGUCCCCUUUGAAGGCAAAAAUCCAUAUAGAAAUGUAGCACAUUUAGGCUGAGUCCUUUUCAAAGACAUGCUAGUUUUGUAGGUCAUAGAAUCAUAGAACCAUAGGAUUUUAGCAUUGGAAGGGACUCCAAGGGUCAUCUAGUCCAACUCCCUGCAAUGCAGGAAUCUCAACAAAGCAUCCAUGAAAGAUGUCCAUCCUGCUUUUAAAGCUCCAAGGAAGGAGAGUCCACAACCUCUCGAUGGAGUCUGUUUCACUGUCAAAUAGCUUUUACAGGCAGAAAGCUCUUCCUGAUGUUUAGUCGGAAUCUCCUUUCUUGUAAUUCAAAUCUAUUGGUUCGGGUCCUACCCUCCAGGGCAGGAGAAAACAAGCUUGCUCCAUAUUCCAUGUGACAGCCCUUUAGAUAUUUGAAGAUGGCGAUCAUAUUUCCUCUCACUCUCCUCUUUUCCAGGCUAAACAUACCCAGCUCCCUCAACCGUUCCUCAUAAGGCUUCGCUCCCACACCCUUUCUCAUCUUGGUCGCCCUUCUCUGCAUAUGUUGCAGCUUGUCAAUAUCCUUCUUAAAUUGUGGUGCCCUGAGAAGUCAGAGAUGUGAUCUGCCCCUUAUAUCCUAAAGCAGUACGACCAACACAACGAAUUACUCACCUAGUCCUGAUGAACAGCUCCUGUGUUGCAGAAAUAUUGAAAGCUACCAUUGUUAUUGCGUCUGUUGCAGUGAUGCGGAAUAUAUAAAUCUCACCAUACAGCAAAGAUGCCAUCCGUUAGGGUGACAUGUCGUCAGUCUUGUUUGUAAUUGGCAUCUGCGUCGUACCCCCCUCGAGUUGUGCUUCAAAACAAUGCUGUCUAACCACAAGUACUAUCUCUGAGCAAUAAGUAAAAUAUAGCCAUAAUAUCAAGCUGGUUCUCAAACUCUAGGUGGCAGCUUAUUCCAUCAUUUUUUCUCAGAUGAAAGCAUCAGUAUGAAAGCAGUAGUAUGCUAUAGUUUAUGCUUCUGACUGUUUAUGAAAAAGUAAAACUAUGGGAAAUGGCAUGGCAGUCUGAGUUACAAGCAUCAGUUUAAUUUGUACACAUUGUGGGUGGCAAACACUACAAGUGCUACUUCAGGGUGGGUUAGAACAAGGCUUUUGGCACAAUAUAUUUACUGUGAACCUAAGAUUUUAGAUCAGGUGUGAACAAGGUUGAUGAGGAUCUGUUGAUAGUUCUUUGAGCAAUUCCCCACCCCCUAGACCAGGCUUCCUCAAACUCAGCCCUCCAUAUGUUUUUGGCCUACAACUCCCAUGAUCCCUAACUAGCAGAACCAGUGGUCAGGGAUGAUGGAAACUGUAGUCUCAAAGCAUCUGGAGGGCCAAGUUUGAGGAAGCCUGCACUAGACCUCCAAAUCAGGUUGCUAAAAUGGAGAAAGCUGGGGAGAAAAUGAAUACAUUUGCAAUGUAGAAAGAUAGUGAACUGUGCUCAGGGAGGGGCCAUAUCUCAGUGGAAAAGCAUCUGCCUUGCAGGUGGAAGGUCGCAGGUUCAAUCCUUGGCAUCUCUAGGUAGUGCUGGCAUUGUCUGAAACCCUGGUGAGUCAUGGCAGAUAAUAUAGUGCAAGAUGGACCAAUGGACUGACUCAGUACAAGGCAGCUUUCUAUAUUUCAGAUACUGAAAACAAAUCCUGAUCGGACCUUGCACUCAGGCACACCCUGUUCAGGAAAACUAACACAAUAUUCCCCACAUCUGAACGUGCCCUAUAGAGCCCAUCACAAUUCCUGUUUCAGCUUCCCUGCUAUUUGAUGAAAUAUAUGGCGCUGUGGUCUAAACCACUGAGCCUCUUGGGCUUGCUGAUCGGAAGGUUGGCAGUUCGAAUCCCCACGAUGGAGUGAGCUCCCAUUGCUCUGUCCCAGCUCCUGCCAACCUAGCAGUUCAAAAGCACACCAGUGCAAGUAGAUAAAUAGGUACUGCUGUGGUGGGAAGGUAAACAGUGUUUCCAUGCACUCUGGUUUCCAUCACAGUUUUCCAUUGUGCCAGAAACAGUUUAGUCAUGCUGGCCACAUGACCUAGAAAACUGUAGACAAACGCCGGCUCCCUCGGCCUGAAAGCAAAAUGAGCGCUGCAACCCCAUAGUCACUUUUAAAUGGACUUCACUGUCCAGGAAUCCUUUACCUUUUUACCUUUACCUCAGUAGCUAUAGUGUUGAAAAUACCUCACAGAGUACUUUGCAAAAAACCAAACUUUUCUUCUUUUCUGUUGCUUCAUGAGCGGAGCGAGGCUCAUAGCAUUAGUUGCUACUGCUUAUUCCCUAUGUGAGGUCAUAAUCCUUGCUUUUCAAAUAUCUUAAUCUUUUUUCCAUUGCUACCAGCUGGAAUGUCAAAAACAAAGGAUUACAUCUCCACUAAUGGAAGGCUUGCUCCCUUUCUCACAGUAUUCAACGGGAGCUGUGAAUAUUUGGUGCCACUGAUAUUACAGUGAAAGUUGCUCAGGAAUAUCUAGUAGGAUUCAAUGGCUAGGAUCAGAAUAGUCUAGCCUAACACAUUGUGGAUUGGGCUGGCUCCUGACAACUACACUUGCCUGAGACUUGAUGAACUCAAUAGGUUAUAUCCAGCAUGAGUCUUACUCAGAGUAGAUGCACUGGGAUUAAUGCAUAGGACAAAUUUUGUUCGAGUAAUUCAAAGUGUACUCUGGGUGUACUCUGAGUUGGUUACAACCUAGAACGUGUGAGUGUGUGUGUUUAAAGAUGUAAAUAUUUUCACUGACUUCUAACUUGAAGGUUCUCACUUUGACUUUUAGGCUUACAAGACUUAGGAGCAAGUGAAGGACUAUCUACUCCCAUAUGAGCCUGUAUCAGAUGCCCUGUUCUAGGUACCACCUUCUGGGUCGUAAGGUAGGUUAUGAUCAGCAGUACAGCCUUUGCAGUGGUGGUGCCCUGGUUCUGGAAUGUUAUCCUCAGUAAUAUUCAGCAGGCAUCAGUGCUGUUACCUUUCAAGCACUUAGUGAAUACAUUCUUAUGUCCUAAGCUUUUAAUGAUUAAUUUCAUUCCUGUCAUUUUCCUUUUUGUUGUUUUUAUCAGUGUUUUUGUGCGUUUUUUGUGCUGCUUUCAUCUCCUUCCUUUGUUGCAAUUUUUGAUUUUUAUAUGUUCCAGACUGCCUCAUUUUCCUAAUCAUCUUCAGCUGAAAGUCCAUCUAAAAAACUCUUAAAUAAAUAAAAUAAUUAUAUGAAGAAAACAUUAUGAAAUAAUACCAGCAAUAUUCAGUUUGCUUUCAUCUGAAAGAAGCCAAAUCUGGGUAGCAGAACCUAGAACAUUUCAUUGAGAAAAAAAGGGAGCAUGCAACAUUUUAUCACUCAAGUACUAUUAUCAGUAGCCCCUUAGUCAUGUUGUUCUGAUUCAAAAUAAGCCAUUAUGGCUUAAUAAGCUUAAAAUUUUGAAAACAAACGUAGAAAGGGUGUAUAAACAGGAUAAAGAUCUCAAGGAAAAAGUGAGGCAAAGCUUGUAAGCAUAACAGGAAGUGGAUGUGACACACUGGAACUUAACACUAAGGCUGUUGCCUAUAAAAAGCUACAUUUAUUUCAUAAUUCUCAUGUCACUCAGCAAGUGUUUCCUCUUUACUCCAGAGUAUUAUGAAACUUUCUAUGGAUUUGGAUGUGGCAUUCAUACAGCUCUUUCCCGAAACCACAUGCAGCACACAAUGUAUUCUUUGAGACAAAAGAUUGCUAAUUCAGACUCAAAUAAAUGCCUGCUAUAAAAUCAGUAAGUUGGUCCAAGAACCCACUGAGACCACAAUCAUAGCACCUUGUUCCUUGUGCACAGUUCUGGUUGCUGUUUUUUUACCAUGGUUUAAGCUUUAAUUAAUUCAGCUCAAUUGUAAGAGCUGAUAAUGAGCAACAACUCUGAGACUUGACACUUUUUGAGAAACUCCAAGAGCAAGAACUGAUUGGAAAGAAGCAUGCAUGCUUACUACUGUCCUGGCUCUCAGUGGCGUAGCGUGGGUUGUCAGCACCCGGGGCAAGGCAAGUAAUUUGCGCCCCCUAACCCGUGGAUUUGCGCCCCCUAACCCGUGGAUUUGCGCCCCCUAACUCUAACCCCCAGAAGUUGCGCCCGGUGUGGCCACCCCCCCCUGCACCCCCCACGCUACGCCACUGCUGGCUCUCAAUGGAUGAAGAACUCAAACUUGGAUUGUGGUUUCUGACAAAAUCUUUAAUGCUCAAAUCAGAGCCGUACAUAGGCAAGGCAAAGGUUAGAGGCCCAGCAUAGCCCAGCUUUAGUGAGGCAAGGGAGAAGCAUAUUUGGACUGGGCAAGCAAACAGGCACUUCUUCCAGUGUGCUGGGCCUGAGCCAUCUGCUCAGAGUGGCAUCUCCAUGUCUUAGGUGACAGGGGAGGGGACAACACAGGCUCAGAGCCAGACUUGUACCUCAGCAUCUCCUAUGCAGGUGGAGACUCGCUGUUAGGGAAAGGUGGUUGGGAGAGUUCCUGUGGAGCCAACUGAUCAUGGCUGAUGCCUAACCCACCUUCUCCCAACAGCCCUCUGAGUCCCUCUCUGGGCUCUGAUUCUGUGCCCCCAUCUUCCUUCCCAUACAACUCUGAAACCUCCUGAGGACCAGGCGAGGUCUGGCUCAACCUACUAAGUCUCUCCCCGGGUUCAUCCAAGUCCAACUCCUCGAGCAUCAUCCUGAUCUGACCAGCCUCUCCAGGACAUUCUCAUGAGGCUCAUGACAACUACCCACUCUAGAUUUUAUCUUAGCAUAAUUUUAGUUAGGUCAGUAACCCUGAAAAAAUUGACCAUGGUAUCUUGUUGUCUUAAAGUUCAGGCAAAAAACUGGAGACUAAAAAUUCAAUAUUUUCUUUUGCAAGUGUUUUCUUACUACAAGGCUUUUCACUGUGUUUAAACUUGCUCAAUGUCAAAACACAGUUUGUUCCACUUGUUCUCUUUGCUAUAGAAACAAAGCAAACUAAUAACUAUUGUCUGUCCUUUAAAUGGAAUUAUUUCACAGCCUUUGGGAUCUUUCACAUGAUUUCUCUGUAUAAUCUAUUACAGUGUGAUAGUUACGCUUUUUAAUUCAUGUAUCAUUUUCCCUUGUUUCCUUGAGUCUUUAAAGUCCACUCCAUGCACAGAUGUUGCAAUGCAUUUUUAAUUGGUAGGGAUAUGUGUCUUCGAAUUCAAGGAGGACCAGCUUUUUAAAUAUUGAAGGCCACCCAUGCUAUGUACACACAGUAAUUACUGGAAGCCAUUGCAGUGAUAUUGCUGAAGGUAGACUAACUUAAACUGGUUUUGCAAGGACUUAUAGUAAUCUAAGCUGUAUCCCACAGGAGCAUUAUCAACACUGCAGCAAUGGAUGCACAAUUGCCAAAACAAAUCCACAACCGAUUGGAUAUUGCCCAUAAAAAGCAACACCUACACACAGUGUUCCAUGCACACUUUUAGGAACGUAUUGCUUCUGGGUGAAAAUGACUUGAGUGGAAUCUGAUAGUAAAUUACAGUCUUGAUUAUCCAUGGAGCAGUGUUAGAUAAAAUGUAGUAGGUAGUUACAGCAAUAAUAUGUUAUUAUUUAUAUCCUGGUCUUCUGCAGUUGCACUUGGAAGGGCUUAUAAGAAAAUCUACAUAGGCAUACAUAAAAUCCAAUUAAAAACAGUAAUUUAAAAGCAGUUAGUCAAAUACAUUAUGGCUGCAACAUGCUUACCUGGGAGUACAGUGGUACCUUGGAAGUUAAACGGUAUCCGUUCCGGAAGUCCAUUCAAUUUCCAAAACAUUUGGAAACCAAGGCAUGGCUUCCGAUUGGCUGCAGGAAGCUUCUGCAGCCAAUCAGAAGCCAUGUCGGACGUUCGGGUUCCAAAGAAUAUUCGCAAACUGGAACACUCACUGGUUCAGGAGCCAAAACAUUUAACUUGCAAGGCAUUUGGGAGCCAAGGUACGACUGUAAAUUGUUUAACAUAGCUGCAACUGAGGCAACAGCCAAUUUCAUAUGUCAAGUAUUAAAAGUCUAUCAAAACAUUUUCAACUUCCGUGAAAAAGUGCUUAGAGAGUGCAACUGAUGCAACUUAGCUGGAAGGACAUGGUGCCACCACUGAAAAGGCCUCUUGCUCAUGCACUGAGAGAAAGGCUUCAUACGUAGGUCCAUUUUGAAGCCCAUCCAGCUCUGCAUUGGGACCAAGUGUUCCUUAAGAUAGUCCCAAGCCACUAAGGGCUGCCACGUUAAACCUAAUACUUAGCACAGUUGUUGUUUAAGGCACAUGCAAUGGACCUGUAAUAAACCAUACUACAUGUAAAUAUAGUAAGUGUACAUAUCUGCCUUGCUCCAGCAAUCCUUUUUCCAGCCUGCAAGGCAUCUUCCAUUCAGUAGAUGAAACAAAUUUGUGCAGGGAGAAUUAUACCCAGUUACUCUCAGCCAAAAAAGGCUUGAAGAGUUAAAUACUGUCUCAUCUUCUCUCAUAUCCACCUGGCCAGUCUUUAGUCACGGAGGUGAAACCUAAUCAGGACAGAGAUCACGUAGCUUGUGGAAACUCAGCUUUAAAUUACUAGGCAAUGUUACUUGGUUUCUUUUUAGAGCUGAGCCAAAGGGAAGGUGAGAUUCAUCAGGUGUGAAAAGCCACUCUCCUUCUGGUGAAUGUCUGGGCUGGGGAGAGAAGUCUUGUAUAAGGGGAUAAAUUAUUCUCCUAGAGCAAGAGUGGGCAACCUUUUAGCCUGCAAAAACUAUAUCCAAUGGUGAGAGCUGCUCGGGGACUGUAUGUCAGUGGCGUACAUCUGCUCACAAACAUUCACCUAAGUACACAGCUUGAUGGGGAGGAGAAGGGCAGACCAAUCUCAACCCCAGAGGGAGGGCAGAAGCCAGGCCAGUCCUUGCUGUCAAACGUGAGGAAGGGCAGACCUCUCUAUUUGGAAUGCAGGCAUUGUGCUUACGAUAGCUGAGAGCUUCCAAGAGGAAGCAUUGCAGUCCUUAUCCAUGCCCCUCUUGAAUAGGACACCUCAGGAACAGCCCAUCCCAUUUUACUGUCUGGGGUGAAGUCUGGAGUCUACCAGAGCCUCACUUACUGGGGUUGCACAGCAGUAGUGGCUUCCAGUGAGAUCUCACAAGCUCUCAUGCAAGCUCUGCAAGAUCUCAUGAGAGUUCUCGUUCUCCUGUGGGAUUUCUCCACCCGAGGCAGCUGCUUCAGUCUGCCUCAUAGGCAGCCCAGUCCUGAGAAACCCAUUUACGGCAGGAUACAGAGCCAAGGGUGGCAGAGGCAGCAGGGAGCAAAGAGCAGCAGCAGAAUCCUCCGACAGCUAACAAUCCUGCUCUGUUUAUUUCUUUAAUAUUUGUGUGUUUCAUAUGGAAAAGGAAAUGCAUUUUCAGACCAUUUUUAUAAAUAAAGCAAAAAAUGAAAAGGCAGAAAUAUAACAGCAGUAGCAUGGUAAGAAAAAUACAGAGUCAUUCUAGAUCUUUUUUUUUUUUUUUAAAUUACCUUUGAUUUCGGCAAAGAAGUAAACAUUCUAAAGCAGUGUCUCAGAUCACUGAUUUGUCUGCCUGACAAAUGGGUUGGCAGACCUGGCCUGUUCUAUAUGGGUUUGUAGAGAUGCAGAGUCUACAGUCCUUCAAAUGUUACUAGACUCCCAUACCUUGAUUAUUAAUGUAUAUUGCAUUCCCUUUCAUGUGGAGAUUUGCCUGGCUCCUUCCCUGCUGACAGAAAUUGAAAACGUUUUCCUUGAAAAAGGCUUUUAAGAUCCAGGUCUGCUGCUGUUUUUAAUUAUUUCAAUUGCUGCUUUUUAUGGCUGCGCUAUUGCAUCCAUAAUGCAAGGGUAGGGAACCUGUGGCUCUCUAGAUGUUGCUGGACUCCAGCUUCCAGCAUUCUUGGCCAUUAGCCUUGAUGGAUGGGGUUCAUGGACAUUUGUUGUUGUUGUUUAGUCAUUUAGUAAUGUCCAACUCUUCAUGACCCCAUGGACCAGAGCACACCAGGCACUUCUGUCUUCCACUGCCUCCCGCAGUUUGGUCAAACGCAUGUUCGUAGCUUCGAGAACACUGUCCAACCAUCUCGUCCUCUGUCGUCCCCUUCUCUUGUGCCCUUCAUCUUUCCCAACAUCAGGGUCUUUUACAGGGAGUCUUCUCUUCUCAUGAGGUGGCCAGAGUAUCAUGGACAUUAAAGGUAAAGGGACCCCUGACCAUCAGGUCCAGUUGUGACCGACUCUGGGGUUGCGGCACUCAACUUGCUUUAUUGGCCAAGGGAGCUGUCAUACAGCUUCCGGGUCAUGUGGCUAGCAUGACUAAGCCGCUUCUGACGAACCAGAGCAGUGCACGGAAACGCCGUUUACCUUCCCGCCGGAGUGGUACCUAUUUAUCUACUUGCACUUUGACGUGCUUUCAAACUGCUAGGUUGGCAGGAGCAGGGACCGAGCAAUGGGAGCUCACCCCGUCGUGGGGAUUCGAACCGCCGACCUUCUGAUCGGCAAGUCCUAGGCUGAGUGGUUUAACCCACAGGACCACCCGCGUCCCAUCAUGGACAUUAGCAUCCAACAAAAUCAGGAGGGCCCAAGUGAACCACCCCAGUCUUAAAGGAACAGAUUCAUAGUUUUAGGACACUCCUAGAACUAGGGGAGGUACAAGCAGCUUCUGUCAUAGAAUGCCUACCCCCAGCUAAAGCUGGUGUGCCACCUGCAAUCGCUCUAGACAGAGACAGUCUAGCAAUUCUUUUCCAUAAACUUGCAGCCUUCAGAUUAGAGUGCUCUAAUGCUUUGAAGACAGUUCAGAGACUGCAAGAAUAGCAAGGUCAUGAUCAGAUGCUUCUCCUUCAGGUGUUUCUGCCAUCUGAGGAGAGAUGAGUAGUGCCCACUCUGGUUUUAUUAUAUUUAUUUAUUAAAACAUUUAUAUCCCACCCUUUAUCCAGUUUGGAUCUCAAGGCAGUGUGCAACAUAAAUUAAUGCAUUUUUAGAAUUAGGCAUUCAACAGUUUUUAAAGGGCACAACAACAACACAGGCCUUUUAUCUAUGUUGCUUCUAUCUGCCUUUAAAAAGUCAGUCUUCUAUUCUGACCAUAUAUUUUGAUGGGGUGUUGUUGUUCUUGGGUUGUUUGUUUGGAAUAGGCCCUGAAAAUAUUUGCCUAUUUGUGUUAAAUGCACAUAAAUCACUCUUGCCUGUUUUAUUGUAUUUUAAACAUGUUGUAAACCAACUUGGGAAUUCCAGUUAGGAGGAGUGCAAAUAAUCCAAAUGCAUAAAAUGAUGCAAACCCCUUCACUCUUUCUCUUCUUUUUGGGAAUACUUAGAGGAGAGCAAAUGUUCUCUGUGUCACCACCAGUCUAGAAAGCAGUGACCUUAUUCUGAUUGGUUAUGCUUGCCUACAGUGACACCAACAGACUCACUACAUAGAAUCAUAGAUCUAGUUCAACCCCCUGCAAUGCAGGAAUAUUCACCUGUCUCAUACGGGGAUUGGACCUGCAACCUUGGAACUAUCGGCAAGGUUGUACUAGCAUGAGGAGAGAGAGAACAUUGUGCAUUUGUGUGUGCAGAAUUGUACCAAAGCAACAACCUGUAGAAUACUAACCGUGGACAGCUGGGUACAGUAUUUUUUAAAAGGGUAGAAACAAGGGCUGAUCUAAAAAGUCAGUACAGCCAAGAUCAGGGAUAAAGAACCUCUGGCCUUUUCAGAUGUUGAUGGAUAUCUUCCAUCAUCCCUGACCAUAGGCUGUGCUGGUGGGGCCUUGCAUAUUAUCAGUUCUCAACCAAGUCCAUCAAAAACAGAAGCCUCGUGGGACAUCUUUGUCUUCAUACUUCCUUGUCUUUCUUGAUAGUGUAAAAAAAUAACAGUACUAAUAAAUAACAGUACUAAUGGGUGGUAAUGAAUGUUGCCGAUAACAGAUCGUGGUAAUGAGGGAUUAUGAAACAAGUUUGCAGGAAGAUGUGGCUCAAGCCCCUUCUGCAUUCUCCUACAACUUGAGGAACUCUGCAGGUUAUCGUCUUGUGCACUAGUUCAUUAUGUUGUACCAUUUGUUUUUAACCUUGGCUUGUCCCUAAGACAUCUGCUCUGCUGUGAUUAAUAAUGCUGAUAGAAAUAAAUUGUUGAAGGGCAGUGCUGCAUUGCAUGACUAAUUACCCUCCUAAAUUAUGUGUUCAUAAAUGGGCUUUUUUAAUAUUAAAAAACACAUGCACCGUGAUCCACACAUACAGAGAGAGAUAAAUGAAACCUUGCUAAACUGCCCAAAUUCAGAGCAGCAGCAGCACCCUUGCCGAGGUGACUUUACAAAUGAGAGUCCUUCACUUUCCCCCACAUACACUUUUUUUAACCAUACACUGCCUUAACUGCCCUUCAUUCAGCCUGAGUAUUAUUCCCUAUCUUCCAAGGUGAAAAAGAGUACCUUCAUAAUCAGAAUGAGAAAGAAUAGGUGGAACGCAAUUUUGUAUUGUUUCACGUUCCUGCCAGGAAGUAUUUUGUUGAGCAAAACAAGGCUACCAGUUUUAAUGGAUAGAAAUUGGGGGACCCAAAGGAGUGUGUGUAAAUAAAUAAUUGCUAAAUUCUUCCAUAAAGCAUAAGACCUCUGAGUUCCAGGGUUAGAGGAUUACAUUCCUAUGCUCCUAGCCUUGAAUCUCAGCAUGUCAGCGCUACCUUCCAUUUGUCCUGUAGCAGAAGCCUUCAAUGUUUCCAGACCCAGGACACACUUUUAGACAUGCAUUUGGUGCCCCCACAGGAGGCAGUGAUGAUCACCACAGCAAAUGACUUUAGAAGAGGAUUAGGCAAAUCCAUGGAGGACAGGACUACUGAUGGCUACUGGCCACGAGGGCUAUGCUCUGCCUCCACAGCUGGAAGCAACAAUGCUUCUGAAAACUAGUUGCUGUAAACCACAGGAGGGGAAAGUGCUCUUGCGUUCAAAUCCUGCUUGCAUUUGGUUGGCCACUGUGAUAACAGGCUGCUGGAUUAGAUGGGCCACUGGCCUGAGCCAGGCUCUUCUUUUGUUGAAGUUGUGCCACAGAAGUUACCAACGAGUGGUGCUGUGGUCUAAACUACUGAGCCUCUUGGGCUUGCUGAUCAGAAGGUUGGUGGUUCGAAUCCUUGUGACAGGGUGAGCUUCCGUUGCUCUGUCCUAGCACCUGCCAACCUAGCAGUUCGAAAGCACACCAGUGCAAGUAGAUAAAUAGGUACCGCUGUGGCGGGAAGGUAAAUGAAUGUUCUGUGCGCUCUGGUUUCCGUCACAGUGUUCCAUUGCACCAGAAGCGGUUUAGUCAUGUUGGCCACAUGACCUGGAAAGCUGUAUGUGGACAAACGCUGGCUCCCUCUGCCUGAAAGCGAGAUGAUUCUGCAACCCCAUAGUCACCUUUGACUGGACUUAAUCAUCCAGGGGUCCUUUACCUUUUACCUUACCAACAAAACACUCCCAGUAAAAUUUGUCAUCUGACUAGUGGGCCACUAAAAAUUGUUUUGCAGGCCUCAUCUAGCUCAUGGGGCAUGGUUUAGCCCUCUCCUUUUUAGAGGUAUAAACUUUGCAAAAUGUGAAAACCUGGAAUUUAAAACUUAGAAUGAACAGUGUAAUCGCCAGAUAUAUUGGUAGUUCUUUGUUCCUUUUAAAGAGUUUUAGAUAUAGCAUCACAAGUCAACAACAGAUUGGGUAGUGCACUUAUUCAAAGACAGAGGGCAACUUGGCCAUUAUAAAAUGUGUUUCAUUUUCCGAGAAAUAAUUCAAAGAUUCAGUGCCACUUCAAAGUACCACUCUGGCAAUGAACUGCCAAAUUGGAAACAACUUAUUGCAUGGAAUCUUGAGGUUACCAAGGCAUAAAGAGAAAUACUCGAGGAUCUGUGUCAGACAGAAGAUAAACAUUUCUGAAACACAACUCAACUAUAGUGGGCUAAGAAAAGGCAAGGAAUUUAGAAGGCGAUUCAGAAUACCAAAGGAAAACCAGUGUAUGUUGGCAGUGCUGCUGUCAUGACCGACAUUAGAAAAGGCUGCAACCCAGUUGUGGAUCCUGGACUGUCCGCUGAAGUCCAGUGCCCCAUCGCACUAAGUGGAAACAGAUCACACACAAAAAAGAGGACGGAGGAGGUUUGCAUAAAAUUGGCAUAUGCUAAUUCAUAGGCUAUAGAUGAAAAUUGUGAAAUCAUUGUCCUAAUUUACAAAGAAAUGCAACAUAUCUCACCAUAGUGGGGGGAACUUAGACCAGGUGACCCAUAUGCUUGCUGAGUCUUCUGCACAGAGGCUAACUAUCAGUGAAUCAACUUCAAGAUCACUGAUCUCCUUUGUCUUUAAACUGUACUUGGACUGGUAGCCUUUUCAGCAGAGGACUGCCCGCCAUAAAGUAGGCCACCUGACUGCUGAGGCUUGGGGUUAGGUGAGUGUUAAGCCCAAGAUCUGAAUGUAUGGGAUAUAUAUUUUGAGUGGGUUUGGGAAUAGAGUCAGAGACCCCUCAUAAACAGAAGGCUGAAUAUGAACAAAGAAGAAACAACACUCCAAACUAAGCAGUAACGCUCAGUGGGUGUCAGUCUAUUUGGGUGAAUGGGGCCCUGCCAGUCUGCCAGCAGCCUGCCCCACCUGCCUGCCUUCUGACUUAUGACAGCCUGUCAGCUUCCUCCUUCUUAGCCUCAGACGAUGUAGUCGGUGGCAGCUUGAAAUGCAGAGGCCGUUUCCCCUGCUGUUCUGUUUUUCUAUACAACAUUGUUUUUGUAUCAGCAAUUCUUGUUAUUAUUUUCAUUGUUGAUUUUAUAUAUAUAUAUAUAGUUAAGUUUCUUCAAGAUAUCUUACUGGAAGCAGUUCAUAAAUGGAAAUAAAUAAAUAGAAUCCCAUUUGGCCCCACCCAACUUUUGCCUCAGAAUCCACCCACCCCCUGGAAUAUGGCCGCUGGAAUCCAGUUGCCCAUAAAAGAAUGCAAGCCUUUGGGUGGAAAAAUGUUUCCCUCAGCCCGAUUCUACUCUGUCAACUGUUUUUAUUUUCUUGGGAACAGACUGCCCUGCGGUCAGCAUUUCAAAAACAGGACAGGCUAUUUGUGCAACAAUCUGUUUUCUACAGAUCACAGUAAGCAUCACCGCCAUGUGGCCUGGCAGAUUGUGCGCUCCAUGGGGCAUGUUGGGUUCUUCACAUUCAUGCAUGUGCAUUUCCUUGUUUGUGCAUUAGAGAUGAAACGCAAUUGCCUCGCGCAGGCUGUGUACACCCUGUAGCUUCAAAGCAUAUUCGAAACAUAUUCUUUUCCUCAAAGAAUUCUGGGCACUGAACGUUACCCUUCACAAAGUUACAGUUCCUAGCGACCCUUAAGAAACCACAGCCCCAGAAUUCUUUGGGGUGGGGGAAUGUGCUUUAAAGUGUGUACACAGCCUCAAAAACUUAAUUUCCAGAGAUGCUGGAGAGGGAAUGGAACUUUGAGGAAUGGCCAUUCUAGCCAAUGAUCGCUAAUAGCAUUGGGACAAGCAUCCUCAAAGUGGAAAAAUUGAGUUGCUGACGGGAGAUGGCCCCUGAAAAGUGGGAGGGCCAAGUAGUGGAAAUGUUCAGUUUGGCAUCCUUGCUGAUUCCAAGAAGCAGAAUAUGUGAACUGCAGACCUGCAUUGUUUAAAAGGAGGUGAGUGUCCAAGUGGACAAUCCACCCUGCUUUGUCUUCUAGCCCCAAAUAUUCUUGCUUAAGCGAAUUGAAAGAGAAGAACAGGAGCUUGUAACCGCAAGCACUGGCGGAGGAAGAGGAGGGCAGGGAGAGCGCACCGCCCCCAGCAACGCGAUCCUGGUGAGGUGCCAUUGUGGCUGCCCCCCCCCCCCGUGCUGAGUGCCACGCUCCUGUGGGCAGCACACCACGCCCCCGGGACGCGCGCCAGCCCUGCCCCCACCUGCUCUCCACCCCCUGGUGCCGGAGCAUGAAGCUCCACCACUGACCCCAAGCCAGGCUGUCAAAAAACAACUUGGAUUUCUCUUCCCAGCGAACUGCUGUACAUAUUCAAUCAACAGCCUUCAACCUUUUCAGUCUUUGGGCCCACGUUUAAUCCCAACCUGCCACACGAUACCCAUUUCUAACUGUGUAAAAAAUCUUCCCCUGUCUGCAUCUCCUGUUUGCUGCCCUCUCUCUUUAGCCAUAUGCAGUUGUUUUUAAUUCUUAUGCAUGUGAGGGGCGUGGCAGCACUUAUGCCCCUCUAUCCCCCAGUCUUCCCACAUUGAACAGGAAGGUCUGGAUGCUGCCUUUCUCCAGGAAGGAGCUGCAAAAGUGUUUUCAGCCAUAAACUGAUUGGCCAGGACAAUGCUGGCAUCUGCUGUUCCUACUGUAGUUGCUGCUGGUUUUCUCCUACCUGGAGAGUCCACCUCUCUUAGCCCUUCUGGUCCUUGUGGCUGUGCUGAUGGGAGUGCAAUGGGCCAGCCCCACCUUGGUAGGCUGGUGUGCCUCUGUGGGAUAAGGGGUUGGUUGGAUUGUAGAUGGAAAGAAGACGAGGAAGAAAAAGGGAAUCCCUAUAGGCAUUUGUUAUUAGUAGCGCUGUAUUUCAUUGCGGGCUGGGGAAAUUUUAGCUGAGCACUGUAGCUGUUGACAAUUGCUGCUUUGCUACUUUUUGUGCUCUCGUAGUAGGAGACUCCUGAAAACCCAUCUAGCUUUUAUUGAUCUGCUGCUUUUCAUCUCCGGGUAACUUGUUUCUUGAAGUCUGUAAUGCUGACACAGAUAGAUGAUUCUACUAUAAUUAGAACUACUGAAUGAGAUACUCCUUCUCCACCCACAUCCCCACUUUGGCACUAAGUCCAAGAGAGAGGAAACUCCUGCUAGCCCCUCCACCUCAUUUAAACUAGAUGGGGUGAUUGUAAGAAAUCCAGCCUUUCUUUAAAUCGCUGAGAUUUGAUUACUCCGAGGACGAGAACCAAAAUUCAGAUCUUUCAACAUACAUUGGAAAGCUCUGCUGUUAGGCUUUUAUCUGUGGGAGAUCGGAGCUUUGGGGCCAAGUGGAUUAAGAAAAAUGGCAGGCUGAAAGGAAAAGAGGGAGAAUGACAAUGACAUCCCUCCGUAUCCUAAUCCCAAACUGAGAAAUUGCUUUCCUGGAAUUCAAACAUUCCAUUAAAAUUUAAUAUUAAGAUAGACACCUGGUUGGGGGGCGCUUUUUGCACCAUUGGAGCGCUCAGUAUUUUUUCUAAAAAAAGACACAUUUUAAAAUUAUUUAUUAUUUAUUUGCUUUUGGUUUUUUCAAUGGCCACAUUUUAUGGGGGAGGUAUUAGGGGGUCACAAGACAUCAUAGUAUCACAGUGGGGGACUUAAGGGAACAGUCAGUCUGUAUAUUUGAAUGACACCGUUGUGCUCAAAUUCAUUAGUAACUCAGAAACCGUGGAACUAUGCCUCAGUUGUCAAUGGGAGUGGUUAUUUAAUAUUUCAUUUAUAAGCCCAGCUUUCGUCCCAGAAACUCAGGGAAGUGUGCAUAGUUCCCCGCUCCUCAUUUGAUCCUCACAACAUCCCUGAGUGAGGGUUUGAACCUAGGAUUCCUGAAUCCUAGCCUGAUAUUCUGAUCACUGCAGCCCUUCUGUCGCUCUUUCAGAUCUGCGUACUAGACGCAAGUCUUCUGGACUCAUCUCCUCCUUCUUAGGAGAAAAGUGACCAAUGGUGAACAGUGGUUCUUCCAGUUCAUUGUCAGACGCAUCAGAUGGUCUGACUGAGGCCUUUGCGCUCUUGUAGUCUGCUGUGUCAUCACUGUCACUGACACCAGCAGCAGCGCCGCCCACUGAACUGGAAUCCGAACUCUGCUCAUCAUCAUCCUCAGCUUCCUCAGCUUCCCCAACAUCAUCUGCUUUUUUCACAUCACCUUCAUCCUCCUCUGGGUAACCCUGGAAAAUUCCCACAUUUUCCCCCCACUUAGGAUUGUACUCAACACUUUGUGAACUUAAUGGAUUUAGAGUCAGUCAUCCACACCCUGUAUGCACCUUUUUCGUACCCUAUGAACAAACCAUGUGCCCCACGCUUCCCAAGCUUGUUGCUCUGUUGGGUGUGUACCCACAUGUCAGAACCAAAGAUUCUCAUGUGCUUGAUGCAAGGUUUCUUACCAAACAUCUUCUCAUAGGGAGUACAACCAAUAGGUGAUGACAAUCUGCGAUUAUAAGUGUAAACAAACGAGUUCAGAGACUCCCCCCAAAACUUCUCAGGGAGAUUGGCAUCAUGCAACAAGGUUUUCAGUCCUUGCAGCAACGUUUGAUUUGCUCGCUCCGCAAGUCCAUUCAUCCAUGGCGAUCUAGGCAUUGACAAGUCAUGCUGGAUUCCCUCUCAGUCAGGAAAGCUUCAAACUGCUGAGAAGUGAACUCCCCGCCUCGAUCAGUAAACAGACAGCCAAUACGUUUACCGUGAACAUUCUCCAACCAAGCACAGAAUGCCUUGAACUGGAAACGCUAUGCAUUUCUGCUCGAGCAUAAACACAUGAAUGUACCUGGAAAAAGAGUCAAUUAGAACCAUGAAGUACCUUGCUCCACCUAAAGAGGGCGCAAGUGGACCAAGCAGGUCUGCGUGCACUAGCUGGUAGGGUUUGGAAGCCUGCCUGCUAGACUCCUUGCCUUUUGGAGCAACCUUCACCUUGUUCUCUGCACAAGAUACACAUUUCAUGUGAAACUUACAGGGUUUGAUGUUCAAACCCUCAACCAUCUCUGGCAUCUUGGCCAGUGCCUUCCAAGAGAGGUGACAAAACCUUCUGUGUGCAUCGUGAAUGCAUCCUGCAUGAAGAACUUUGUUAGUUUGUGCAACACAACAAGAAUCAGCAUUAGACACAACAGCACCAUUGUCAUUAUAAGUUAUACAGAACAAGCCAUCCAUAAACUUUGCAUGCAAAAUGUCCUCUUUGCCUUUUCUGAUGACACAGACGCACCUCUUGAAAGAAAUCUCAAAACCACGCCCAGUCAGCUGUGGGACACUGAGCAAAUUGUCUGCAGCGCCUGGAACAUACAGUACAUCUUUGAUGGUCGUGUGCAGACUUGCCAGUCUCACAGUCCCUUCUCCUGCGAUUCGCAACGUCUUUCCGUCAGCCAGGUGGAUCUCACCUUCUUGAGGUGUGAAGGAGAUAAAGAGAUGGCGGUCCUUUGAGACAUGGCGGGUACACCCCGAAUCAAUAACAAACCUGGCCUUGGCCUUUGGAGCAGUCUUUCUGGCAAGCAUAACCUUGUUUUCCACCGGCGUGGGCUUUUGCUGCUUGCCCCCCUGCUCCUGGCCAUCAGACUUGCCUUUAGCCUUUGGUGAAGCUGUGCCAGCAAACAACGCCUUGUUUUUCUCUGGCGUGGGCUCUUCACCCCCCUUCUGCUUUGGGCCAUCUGCAGGCAUCUGCCUCUGUUUACUUCUGGCCUUCCGGUAUCUGUGAGGAUGACCUUGGCUCCCAUGAGAAACAGAGCUCUCAGCUGCCGACUCCUUGGCUCCCCCUGGAGGCUGGAAUGCUGCCUGGGAUGAUGUGACAGUCAGCUCCCCCUGCAGCUUGCAACCGAUGCCCUCGGCAUCCCUGCAUUCACUCGCAUUCUGGGAAACAGCCAGGACCUCCGACGCAGUCAAACUCUGGGCUGGGAUGACUGGCAAAUGGGCUAUCUUCAAAGCAUUCCACAUCUUACGUGCAGUCACGUUGCCAGCUAACGUUUUAAUUUCCUCCAGAGAGACGGACAAGACUAUUACGUCUAUGGCCCUCGAAUUCUGGGCUCUCCAUCUAUCUGUCAGAGGAACUGGAGGGGCUUCAGACACAGUACGCCACACUCCAAACUGACGCAGCAAACUCUCACACCACACAGCCCAGGUCUGAUAAUUGUGCCGAUUUAACUUUGGGCACUCAGCAGCCUCAGAAGCUUUGAAAAACUCCAUUCCAGCUUUUUACUUGAGCCGUGAGCCUUUAUGCCUUCAAAAACUUCUUAUCUCAGCAGCCCAUAAAUCACGAAGCUUGCUUGGCGCAGCCCCCAGACCAAUUAGGCCAGCCGGACAUCUGAAGCCCUUGCCGCGGCAAACAGAAAAGCCUCACUUUCACUUUUCCCACAUACCUCAACGCAGUCUGUCGCAGUCUUACUCUCCUGUAAGUGCCGUGAAUCUGGGCCCGAAACCUGUUGUUGGGAUACUGCCAGGGAGAUAAAGUCCAUCAUGGCCCCCAAGCCGGCUGCCGGACAAUCCAUCGACCUCCCGUAGUCACGCAGUAUCAGCAAUUAGCGACAUAAGCUCCAGAACAUUCUAGAGCCGAUGCACACUCUUUAUUGGCAGAUAAUGCACAGCAGAAGUCGCACUCAGGAGAGCAUUAUUUACAAGUUUUAUUCAGCGUUGAUCAGAACAAAGAAAACCAUGACUGCCUGCAUCGAUGUCUCCAGACACACAGAGAGAAAUGAAAGCAACAGAAAAACAUAAACAUCCUGUGAACAGGAAAUACGCAGACUCUGUGACUCACAGCCUGUUCCCUUUUAAGGUGGAACGGAAAUAUCCUAACACUGCACCAUGCAGAAAACACACUACUGAAAAUAAUUGUCUUUAUUUAAGUGCUCAUUUACAUCUUGCUAUGCCUUUUGCAUAUUCGGGAUUGAAGCGGGGAAGACUAUUUUCUGGGUUAUUUCCUAGAUUCUCACAUGUUCUCCUACAAUAGCAUAGCAAAAAUUACUAGACACUAUCCAGAGGUCAUUUCUUACCACCCUGAUAAUGAGAAGUGUCUGCAGUAAUCAAAACAUUCAUAAACAUCCUGGUCGUAUUGCAACUGAAUUAAUAUUGGCUUCCCUUAUGUGUUCCUGGCUUACACUGAAAGGUCCCUAUGUCUCCGACGGGCAAAAUGUUACUAAGGAGGUGAAAAAAUGAGUUGCAAAUGCUAAUGAGCAAAUAAAAGUUCUGUCAACUCUUUCAGGAAGGAAACAAAAUUAAACCUUUCCCUAAACACGAUCGCAGUUGAUAAAAUGCUGGAUGUUUAGGUGCCAAUUAUAGCUCUUUCAGAAACUCUCAACUCUUGUCAUAACACAUGCCAUAAACAAGGACAGAUUUAGAGGUUCUUCAUGACAGUUAUGUGUAGGAUGUUGACAGUUGACUGUUAAAUUUCAAGUGCAGGGGAAAAUUUCCCUCCCUAUAGAUCUUCGCUUGUUUAUUAUGAGGGUGUUUUCUUUGCGAGUUCAAUCAUACAUUCGCUGCCUCACGUUCUCAGCGCUUGACAUUUCCAUUUAACUCCCCCCCCCCCCAUGACAAUCACUGAAGUGUAGAUGGAGGUAAAUGCAACCUCCAGUACACUCAAGAGGUGUGAGAAUUUCAAAACUUCAGGGCGUUUUCUUCACUUUUCCUUUUGAAUAUUUAGAUUUGUUAUUCUCCUUCCCUUUUUAUAUUAAAAAAUACCCAAUUAUAUAUGGGUGGUUACAUCAGAAGAAAGCAAAUAUAUGUGUUUGACAUCAUAAUGAAAGAAGGGAAGAAGCUUUGUGAGGAAUCUGAAGCUGGGAUAAAGACUAGUUCUUUGAGGGUGCUUUAAGACCUCCAACUAUACUUACCAUCAUCAUUUUAAUAAUUAUUAUUAACAACUAAUGAACCAUUAGUAACUUCAACAGAUAAUGCCUUUAGAGAUGAACAGGGAGUAUUUUUCCCUCCUGCACAAAAUGUUCACAAUGUGUGUGUGUGUGUGUGUGUGUGUGUGUGUGUGUAAGGCUUAUUACGGAGGCAUAAGGACCAACAAAUUACUCCUUCUUGGUUCAUCCCUGAAAGUCUUGCUUCAUUCCCUGGAUCUUCCUGUAUACCACAUUGCCUUUUCUGUGGAGAUUUGUCUGGCACUCUCCUGACAGAAAUAGAAAGCAUUUUUAUUUUUAAAAGGCAUUUAAUGUCCAGCUCUCCUACUGUUUUUAAUUAUUUUACUAUCUGCUUUUUUAAGGUCGGCUGGGUUUUUUUAGGUUUUUUUACAGUAUUGUAUAUUUAUUUCCUGAAUGCAGGAAUGGUAAUGCAACACUUCUCCAGAUGUUGUUGGACUACAAUUGCCUACCAACCAGCCUGGGGCUGAUGGGAGUUGAAGUUCAAUACAGUUGAGAGCAGGGAUGAGGAACAUGUCACCCUCCAGAUGUUGUUGGACUCCAAUUCCUAUUAGCCCUAACCAGCAUGGCCAGUGGUCAGAGAUGAUGGGAGUUGUAGUCUUAAUGACAUCUAGAAAUCCUCAGGUUCACCAUCCCUGAUUGAGAGGUCCUCAGGUUCCACAUCCCUACCUAAUCAUAUAAUUGCAUUUAAAUCCUUUUUUGUAAGAUGCUAAGGGUACUUAUCGAUAGAAGAGCAGUGUUCAUAAGUGUGGGUAUGCAACAACAAUAAUUAGAAAUACCUCCAUUAAUGCCUUCAGAUCUGUCUUCAUAAUAGAUAGUACGAUCCAAAUACACAUACACUUGGUGCUCCUGAGAAGAACAAACGUGUGUGUGUGUGUGUGUGUGUGUGUGUGUAAAUCAACAAGAGAAGUGGGGGACACACACCAAAUAAAGGUGAAUAAUUUCUCAUAGGCUUUCUAACCAGCAGGGAACAGGUGGACAAAGCAAUCUUCAAGGAGGUAUCAAGGACAUCUAAAGCUCAUAAACACAGGACCCUGGGAUAUAACUACACAGAUGUUUGUUGAGCUAAGAACAUAGCUAAAUAUAGAAUAUACAUAAAGUUACUGACCUGUAUAGAGGACAUUUAGCACACAAAAACUAGGGAAGUGACUGGUAUGUGUUUUAGUAAUCUUUACUCAAAAUGUUUUGAGACUGGGCAGGAUAAGAGAUGAUAUACAUUAGGGAUGUGUUUUGGCCCCAAGGGGGUGAAUUAGGGUGAUUUGGGGUAUUAUUUCAUGUUACUUAGAUUGCACUGUUAACAAGGCAUGUCAAGGAGAGUCACAGAGUGCCCAAACUUCUUAAUAGCUCUGUUGACUCAGUUUUUCGCAUAAGUGAAGCACAAGAUCACUGCCUUUUUGCUUUUUAUUUUCUGAGAAAUGAAACCAAGCUGAGUGUGGAAAGUCUGCCCUUAUGGGAGAACCACCGAGCCUGUGUUUCUAAAAUGUGAGUCUUCCCAAUCAGGCUCAAAAUACUUGGCAUUUGGGAAAGUAAAACACAUGAAUUGGAACUGCAUGGCACAGUGCACACAUUUUUUUGUUACUUUCUAAUUGAGUGGCCCAGAACACAUUAUAUAACAAGCAAAAGGGAUGCACUUCCCCUGAGCAUAAAAGAUCAUGAAAUAUUCAGUAAUAUUUAUGAAGUUCUGGUUCAAUUCUGUCAAGUCCCUGAAUUUUGAAUGGAGCAGUUAGCAUUUUUGGUUAUGUUUUAACCAGUUCACAAUGGCACAGAGCAGCUUCCUUUCUUAUAUUAACAACCCUGUACUUAGGGAUAUUAACUCACCAAGAAACUUGCCUGGCUCUUUCAGCAAUGGAAUCCUUGCGGGAUCCAGGAAUUAGAAGGGACUCAGGCAUACAGCCCAACCCUCCAUCCCCAACAAACAAUGCUAUGCAUGCAAACUCUUUGCUCUAACCAUGCCAGCCACCCCUCUCUCUCCCCCUCCCACAAAUCCUCCUGCAAGCAGCCUGCAUGGAGAAAUGACCAUAUGCUUUACUUUACUUUCUUUGUAGGGCUGUCAGGUGUCUGGUCCAAGUCCAGUUGAAAGAUAAAGAACCCUAAGCAAGCAGAAGCCUAGAAUUUGUCCACCAACAGUUAAGCGGCUGGAGAGCAGACUGACCAGGGGCACGCUGGUCACCGUCUUCUGCACUAUGGUGAGAUGCACUGUAUUUCUAUUUCGAUCAUGGUUAGGCAAACUAAGGCCCAGGGGCCGGAUCCAGCCUAAUCGCCUUCUAAAUUUAGCCCUCUGUCCAGGAAACAGUGUGUUUUUACAUGAGUAGAAUGUGUCCUUUUAUUUAAAAUGCAUCUCUGGGUUAUUUGUGGCGCCUGCCUGGUGUUUUUACGAGUAGAAUGCGUGCUUUUAUUUGAAAUGCAUCUCAGGGUUAUUUGUGGGGCAUAGGAAUUCGUUCAUGUCCCUCCCCCCUUCAAAAUCUAGUCCGGCCCCCCACAAGGUCUGAGGCACAGUGGACCGGCCCCCUGCUGAAAAAGUUUGCUGACCCCUGAUUUAGAUGAUAGCAAUUGUUUCUAAGUGUUAUUUAUCUAGACAGUGUCAUUUCUCUAGAGAGAUAAAUGAGAGUAUGCAAAUUGAUAACAUUUUUUCCUUUUUGCGAUGUGCAAAGGGCCACUUUUCACGCAGGUUCUCAGCAGUUACUUCUCCUAUUGCCCCAAAUUGAUAGUGUGUGCAAACUUCCUAGGCCAAAUUGGCUUGCAGCAGCAGUGGACCCAUCUCAUCUGCAAGCCGCCUUUGUGAAGGCAACGUGGUGUUCCCCUUCCAGUGCACUGCAAUUCUGGAUCACCCCUCAACAUUGGCCACACUGGCUGUGGAUGAUGGGAGCUAGAGUCCAAUAACGUCUGGAAGGCACAAGAUUGGAUAUCCCAAUCUUGGGACUGAGUUGGUCACUCUGUGAACUUCAUCUGUGAAAUGACUCACAGACAGAACCUCUGGAUGCUGCCUGUUAGCUUUUGGGGGAAUGGAUACAAUGAAUAAAUCUAGCUUCCCUCCCCCACCUUUGCCCAGGCAUUUCUGUUUCUCGUAUACACACAGUCAUCUCAGAUGCCGGGUGAAUUGUGUGCCAGGAUCUUAGACUAACCUCUUCAGAUAGACACCCUAGACAUCUGCAAAGAUGGUUGAGUUGUCUGUAAGUGUAUAGAUUAGAGAAGAAAUAUAGUUGAAAGCUCAUAUGGCGACAAGGUUUGCGCUAAGGUGAAAAGGAGGAGGAAUCUCCUCCACAAACUUAUAUAAUGGGAAAAUAUUAUCAUAGCGCUGGAAACAAAAAGCUGCUUUUAGCACAGGUUUCUGAAUUGGCUGAAGAAGAGAGAUACAGUUCUUGAAAAUCUUGAGAAUCCAAUUGCAUUUCACAUCCCAUUUAGUCCAGAAUAGGCAAUGGGCUCACAGCUAACAGUGAAAAUAGUCACCUAGAAAGAGCUUUAUGUUUUCAUAUAUUUUUACUAUUGCUUUUGAGUGGAAUGGAAGGAGUUUAAAGUUUUCAAGGUUCAAAAAUCACCAGUCUGUAUUCCCUCCCGCUUCAUCUAACACAGAAAUAGCUUUCGUUUUCUUUUUCUAGGUUUGGUUGUUGAUGAAGUUGCAUUACAGCCAAGUGAUGCAACACACAGCUGUAUAAAAUGGCAUCAAGAUAUGUUCUUAACCUGCAGGGUGUAGCAUAACAUUUGAACCUUGCUUUAGCACUAGCAAUGAGAUAAUUUUACUGCCUAUAACACCAGCAAUCAAAUGGUAGUUUUUGAUCCAGUUUAACAGAACCUACAUGUUAUCUGCAGCAUUCAAGGCAUCUCAUGAAAAUCUCACAGAAACGGGAGGCGUUCAGCCCAUCUAACAUAUGCAGCAUCUGUGUAUCAGUGUUAAUUUUAUUGUAGAAGAAGAUGCUACCUAUUGAUUAAAGCUGAAUGGGAGCUCUGUGACCUGGAACAUUCAAUGAAUUGGAAAAAUGGCCUCAGGUGGAAGAUAUAAUUUAUUAUGGGUGAGCCAUAAAGGCCACCUCGCUUGUUACUCCCAGGGAGGAAUGAAAUAAAAAAGACUUAAGUAACUGCUCACCCAGCACAAUAGAUACUGGCAGCUCUGCAGUAAUUUAGACUUCCUACUUUGCUAUUCAUCAGGAUAAUUGCUGGGAGCUGUCAAGGCUGGAACUGAGGACCCAUGGGCUCUAUAUGCAUGGCCAUGUGCUGAGCCAACAGGGCUACAAGUUGGAGCAUCUUGCUAGGCAGUGGAGAUUGCAACACUUGGGGCUUCAUAGCUUAGGGAAACAGCUGAUGGAGGAGGCAACAGAAGUAUGUAAGAUUAUGCAUGGCAAUGAUGUCAUAGAGCUGUUAUGGAGGAGGUGGGAGGAUCUCAAAGGAGUGGAUUCAGAGAUAAGGCCUUGGAGGUAGACGACCUGAGAGAGAUGAGAGUUGUGGGAUGAGAAAUGUGGCACUGGUGCCUCAAGAAGGGUUGGAGCUAGUAGAGGGGGCUGGUGAACAGGAGGGUCAGGAGCUGGAUUCAGGGAAGGUUCAAACGGGUUGUCAGAGAGCUGCUUUGCCCCUGUGAUCUCAGACACUUCUAAAGGGCUGCUGGUGCUGCCACUGGACUGUCCUGUCACUCCUGCCAAUAAGGCCCUCAGAAGACAUCUCAGAGCAGAUGCUAAGAGGAUAAAUGAUUGUGGGCAAGGAUACAAUACUGGGAUAUGAGGCAAGGCAUGGAGAAAUUUUAAGGUUAGGACAAGAAAAUUGUUCUGGAUAUCAGAGGAGGCAAGGAGCCGGCACAGGGGAUUCAGAGCGGGCUGAUGAGUAUAUAAUAAGGCCAGUUGCUUAUUUCCUGAUCCUUCUAUGAAGGGAGCUGCAGUACCUCCUCAGGUCAUCCACAAGUGGUGGCACUGCAGAGUAGCAGAGGUUUUCUGGGUUUUCUGUUCCUACAAACUGUUUGAUAUAUGCUGCUCACUUACCGUAAAUAUCAGAAAACACCAACCCCUUGACUUUGUCAAGCAUGCGGCUUGAUCCUAUGCAUGCUUAUGCAAUGGAACUUAUUUUCAAGUAAGAAUGUGAACAGGAUUGCUGCCACAGACUAUGUCAUUGAAUACAGUGCAGCCAUCUGAAUUCAGUGCAUGUUAUAUGUGUAAAUAACUUUCUCUAUCUCUCAGUUUACAGGUUAACAGGAGUUUUUCUUGGCUGAUCAAUUUUUGACCAUUAAAAGUUAAUGCCACCAAGAGAACUCUGAAGGAGUAGCAGAAGCUUUGAAAGCAAUUGUACAAGCU